rfam:Oryza rufipogon genomic scaffold, chr08
AAUAAGUGUAGUUUUUCACUGUUCAUAUCCAAUAUUUGACCGUUUGUCUUAUUUAAAUUUUUUUAUGUUUAGUAUUUUUAUUGUUAUUAGAUGAUAAAACUGAAUAGUGAAUAGUACUUUAUGUGUGACUUUUUUUAUUUUUCAUAAAUUCUUAAAAUAAGAUGGAUGGUCAAACGUCGGACACGGAUACCCACGGCUAGGGGUGAA